rnacentral:rRNA from 1 species
UACGUAGGGGGCAAGCGUUGUCCGGAAUCAUUGGGCGUAAAGAGCGUGUAGGCGGCCCGGUAAGUCCGCUGUGAAAGUCCAGGGCUCAACCCUGGGAUGCCGGUGGAAACUGUCGAGCUAGAGUCCGGAAGAGGCGAGUGGAAUUCCUGGUGUAGCGGUGAAAUGCGCAGAUAUCAGGAGGAACACCGGUGGCGAAGGCGGGUCUCUGGACCGAUACUGACGCUGAGGAGCGAAAGCGUGGGGAGCGAACAGG